rnacentral:rRNA from 1 species
AGCGGCGGACGGGUGAGUAACGCGUGGGUAACUUGCCCUGUACACACGGAUAACAUACCGAAAGGUAUGCUAAUACGAGAUAAUAUACUUUUAUCGCAUGGUAGAAGUAUCAAAGCUUUUGCGGUACAGGAUGGACCCGCGUCUGAUUAGCUAGUUGGUAAGGUAACGGCUUACCAAGGCGACGAUCAGUAGCCGACCUGAGAGGGUGAUCGGCCACAUUGGAACUGAGACACGGUCCAAACUCCUACGGGAGGCAGCAGUGGGGAAUAUUGCACAAUGGGCGAAAGCCUGAUGCAGCAACGCCGCGUGAGCGAUGAAGGCCUUCGGGUCGUAAGGCUCUGUCCUCAAGGAAGAUAAUGACGGUACUUGAGGAGGAAGCCCCGGCUAACUACGUGCCAGCAGCCGCGGUAAUACGUAGGGGGCUAGCGUUAUCCGGAAUUACUGGGCGUAAAGGGUGCGUAGGUGGUUUCUUAAGUCAGAGGUGAAAGGCUACGGCUCAACCGUAGUAAGCCUUUGAAACUGGGAAACUUGAGUGCAGGAGAGGAGAGUGGAAUUCCUAGUGUAGCGGUGAAAUGCGUAGAUAUUAGGAGGAACACCAGUUGCGAAGGCGGCUCUCUGGACUGUAACUGACACUGAGGCACGAAAGCGUGGGGAGCAAACAGGAUUAGAUACCCUGGUAGUCCACGCCGUAAACGAUGAGUACUAGCUGU